GCCCUGGUGGCACAGUGGUUAAAUGCCUACUGCAGCCAACUGGAAGGUUGUGAGUUCAAUACCAGCCAGGGCU